rnacentral:rRNA from 1 species
AAGCCCUUUCGGGUUAAAAAAUUUUUGUUGUUAGAGAAGAACAAAUUCUUUUUAAAACAGGGGGGUUCCUUGGGGGGUCCUUAACCAAGAAGCCCGGGGUUAAUUACGGUCCCAGCAGCCGCGGUAAAUACGUAGGUGGCAAGCGUUGUCCGGAAUUAUUGGGCGUAAAGCGCGCGCAGGCGGUCUCUUAAGUCUGAUGUGAAAGCCCACGGCUCAACCGUGGAGGGCCAUUGGAAACUGGGGGACUUGAGUACUGGAGAGGAGAGUGGAAUUCCAUGUGUAGCGGUGAAAUGCGUAGAUAUAUGGAGGAACACCAGUGGCGAAGGCGGCUCUCUGGCCAGUAACUGACGCUGAGGCGCGAAAGCGUGGGGAGCAAACAGGAUUAGAUACCCUGGUAGUCCACGCCGUAAACGAUGAGUGCUAGGUGUUGGGGGGUUCCACCCUCAGUGCUGACGUUAACACAUUAAGCACUCCGCCUGGGGAGUACGGCCGCAAGGCUGAAACUCAAAGGAAUUGACGGGGGCCCGCACAAGCAGUGGAGCAUGUGGUUUAAUUCGAAGCAACGCGAAGGACCUUACCAGGUCUUGACAUCCUUCGCUACUUCUAGAGAUAGAAGGUUCCCCUUCGGGGGACGAAGUGACAGGUGGUGCAUGGUUGUCGUCAGCUCGUGUCGUGAGAUGUUGGGUUAAGUCCCGCAACGAGCGCAACCCUUGAUCUUAGUUGCCAGCAUUCAGUUGGGCACUCUAAGGUGACUGCCGGUGACAAACCGGAGGAAGGUGGGGAUGACGUCAAAUCAUCAUGCCCCUUAUGACCUGGGCUACACACGUGCUACAAUGGAUGGUACAAAGGGCAGCAAAACCGCGAGGUUGAGCGAAUCCCAUAAAGCCAUUCUCAGUUCGGAUUGCAGGCUGCAACUCGCCUGCAUGAAGCCGGAAUUGCUAGUAAUCGCGGAUCAGCAUGCCGCGGUGAAUACGUU